rnacentral:rRNA from 1 species
GACUCUCAACAAUGGAUAUCUCGGGUCUCGCAUUAAUGAAGAACGUAACAAAAUGCGAUGCUUUGUGUGAAUUGCAGAAUACAGAGGCAGAUCCAGGAUUCGGACUCUCCGGGUGUCAAGUAAAAUUAUCAACUGGUACAUUUACGACGCGUGUUG